GAUGAACGCUAGCUACAGGCUUAACACAUGCAAGUCGAGGGGUCUCGCGGGAGCUUGCUUCCAAGAGACGACCGGCGCACGGGUGAGUAACGCGUAUCCAACCUGCCCUUCAUAUUGGGAUAGCCUUCCGAAAGGAAGAUUAAUACCGAAUAACAUGAGAAAGUUGCCUGAUUCUCUCAUGAAAGCUCCGGCGAUGAAGGAUGGGGAUGCGUUCCAUUAGGUAGUAGGCGGGGUAACGGCCCACCUAGCCUACGAUGGAUAGGGGUUCUGAGAGGAAGGUCCCCCACACUGGAACUGAGACACGGUCCAGACUCCUACGGGAGGCAGCAGUGAGGAAUAUUGGUCAAUGGGCGCAAGCCUGAACCAGCCAAGUAGCGUGAAGGAUGACUGCCCUAUGGGUUGUAAACUUCUUUUAUACGGGAACAAACCUUGGUACGCGUACCAAAUUGCGUGUACCGUAUGAAUAAGCAUCGGCUAACUCCGUGCCAGCAGCCGCGGUAACAC
rnacentral:rRNA from 1 species